UACGAGGGGAGCAAGCGUUGUUCGGAUUUACUGGGCGUAAAGGGCGCGUAGGCGGCGUGACUAGUCACUUGUGAAAUCUCCGGGCUUAACUCGGAACGGUCAAGUGAUACUGUCGUGCUAGAGUACAGAAGGGGCAACUGGAAUUCUCGGUGUAGCGGUGAAAUGCGUAGAUAUCGAGAGGAACACCUGCGGCGAAGGCGGGUUGCUGGGCUGACACUGACGCUGAAGUGCGAAAGCUAGGGGAGCGAACGGG
rnacentral:rRNA from 1 species